GCCGAAAGGAGCAUGCUUUUGCACUGCGGCCGCCCUGUGUGUGACUGACUCUGGAUCUUGUCUUCUGGCCAGCGCCUCGAUUCCUGCUCAGCUGGAUUUGGGGGGCAACACUGCCUCGCGCAGGGAGGAGAGCAAAAGAGACUACAAAGAAGCAUAAAAUGAAUAGACAAUACAACCAGCCAAAGACCGGGGGCAGCAGCACACCAGCAAGACGGCAUCUUCUCUUCCCCAGCCUAGAAGCCCUGUGAAAUCGAGGAUCUUCCCCCUAAAACACACACACACAA